GAUGAAGAACGUAGCGAAAUGCGAUAAGUAAUGUGAAUUGCAGAAUUCAGUGAAUCAUCGAAUCUUUGAACGCACCUUGCGCCCUUUGGCCAUUCCGAAGGGCAUGCCUGUUUGAGUAUCAUGAACACCUCAACUCUCAUGGCUCGCCAUGAUGAGCUUGGACUUUGGGGGUCUUGCUGGCCUGUGGUCGGCUCCUCUCAAAUGGAUCAGCUUGCCAGUGUUUGGUGGCAUCACAGGUGUGAUAACUAUCUGCGCUUGUGGUUUUCCAUCAGAUAACCUUCAGUGAUGGAGGUUCGCUGGAGCUCAUAAACGUCUCCCCUAAGCGGGGACAGCCCUUUGAAUGUUUGAUCUCAAAUCAGGUAGGACUACCCGCUGAACUUAAGAAUAUCAAUAAGCGGAGGA
rnacentral:misc_RNA from 1 species